GUGCUCACUUCAACACACAUAUACUACAACUGCAACGACACAGAGAAGAUUAGUAUGGCCCCUGCGCAAGGAUGACACACAAAUUCGUGAAGCGUUCCAUAUUUUU
ensembl:snRNA U6 U6 spliceosomal RNA